CCAGACUCCUACGGGAGGCAGCAGUGGGGAAUAUUGCACAAUGGGGGAAACCCUGAUGCAGCGACGCCGCGUGAGUGAAGAAGUAUUUCGGUAUGUAAAGCUCUAUCAGCAGGGAAGAUAAUGACGGUACCUGACUAAGAAGCCCCGGCUAACUACGUGCCAGCAGCCGCGGUAAUACGUAGGGGGCAAGCGUUAUCCGGAUUUACUGGGUGUAAAGGGUGCGUAGGUGGCAUGGCAAGUCAGAAGUGAAAGCCCGGGGCUCAACCCCGCGGACUGCUUUGGAAACUGUGCAGCUGGAGUGCAGGAGAGGUAAGCGGAAUUCCUAGUGUAGCGGUGAAAUGCGUAGAUAUUAGGAGGAACACCAGUGGCGAAGGCGGCUUACUGGACUGUAACUGACACUGAGGUACGAAAGCGUGGGGAGCAAACAGGAUUAGAUACCCCCGUAAC
rnacentral:rRNA from 1 species